UUGAAAAUGUUUGAGAAGCAAUAAAUUAUGUGAUGUCUUGAUGCUUAUGCUUUCCUUAUAAUAUAUUGUAAGCCUUUAUUUACCAGAAAAAAAUUAUCAAGAAAACUGGUCAAUUUUGUUUUCUUUCAGCCUCUUCUCUUUUACUGUUGGGUAAUGUAAUAUGACUCUUUAUAUGGAUUCUUUUUUGCUUUUGUUCAGGCAAAAGAAAAGGAGCGUAGGUUGAAGUUACGUGAGGAGAAGAUGGAACAACAGAGAUUACACCAGGAAGAGAGAGUCAGGAAGGCCCUGGAGAGAGCGAAGGCCGAACCAAAGAAACAGACUGGCAGAAAACUUGUGUUCCGAUCAGAGCCACCACGACACAAGAAGAAGGAGGACGACAGAAAUGACCAACAGAGCAAGGAGGAAGAAGAAUUAGCCUACUUCUUUUCUUGGGUGUAACUUUCAUUACACUCAAAUUGUAGCUUUUAUUAUUCUUAUACAAUGUCAUGACCAAAUAAAGACUUUAUAACUAAGUUUUAUUUAUCAAACAAAAUAAGAAAGUAAAUGAAUAUGAAUCAGU